UGACUGCCAAUUCUCAGAGAGCAGUUGGGCUUCUCUGGGGUCAGCUCUGAAGUCUAAUCCAUCCCCCCUGACAGAGCUGGACCUGAGAGGAAUCAACCUGGACCCUGGAAUAAAGGAGCUGAGUGAUUUUCUCCAGUCUCCUCUCUGCAAACUACAGACGUUGAGAUUAAGGUUCUGCAGUUUAUCAGAGAUCAACUGGUCUUCUCUGGCUGCAGCUCUGCAGUCUAAUCCAUCCAAUCUGACAGAACUGGACCUAAACGGAACCAACCUGAACAUUGAACUAAAAGAGCUCAGUGGGUUUCUCCAGUCUUCCCUCUGCAAACUACAGAUAUUGAAAUUGAGGAGCUGCGGUUUUUCAGAAAUCAGCUGUGCUUCUCUGGUCUCAGCUCUGAAGUCAAACCCUUCACAUCUAAAAUACAUUGACCUAAGACAGAACAACCUGAAGCAAUCAGAUGUUCAGCAGCUGCAGAAACUGGUAGAGAAUCCAGACUACAAACUGAAGACUCUGCUGUGGAGCUGGAUAUCCUAGUCCUAGAGAGAAGCUGAUCUGUGUCCUGAUGAUCCACAGAGGUUUAACUCAGCGUUUAAUGAAAUUUAAACCAAGCUCCAUUUAGGUUUGAUCUGAAUUUGAUCAAAGUGUAAAGUGUAUAUUUUUUGUGUUUUAUUCAGUUUCAGCCUACAACCCAGAAAUCUGAAAUAAAGCUUAAUUCUAAUUCAAGUUUUGAUGCUGAAUAUUUGCUUCAUUUUGAUGCAGGUUGUGGUUGUUUUUGAUUGUAUUUUAGAUGU